UACGUAGGGGGCAAGCGUCGUCCGGAUUUAUUGGGCGUAAAGAGCGUGUAGGCGGUCUGGUAGGUCCGUUGUGAAAACUCGAGGCUCAACCUCGAGACGCCGAUGGAAACCAUCAGACUAGAGUCCGGAAGAGGAGAGUGGAAUUCCUGGUGUAGCGGUGAAAUGCGCAGAUAUCAGGAAGAACACCCGUGGCUAAGGCGGCUCUCUAGUACGGUACUGACGCUGAGACGCGAAAGCGUGGGGAGCGAACAGG
rnacentral:rRNA from 1 species